rnacentral:lncRNA from 1 species
GUUUUUCACAGUUCUUGUGCCUGUGAAAACUGCAGUUCCUUUUUUUAGAAAGUCAACAAAAUGUGUUCUGACAUUGUGACUUAUGAUAAGGCUACAUACUCCGUCUUCGCUCUGUUUCUUGGCCACAGCUCCUGUAACCUUGGAAUCUCCAGAGUGGUCAGUAUUGUUUCCUGUGUGAGUGAGAUGAGUGAAGAAAGGGUGCUGGAUCACUUCAGGAUGGAGUUGUGGGUUGCUAAGGAAAGCAACCACAGUAACACAUCCCCACUUCCGGUUCUCUGAAACUGGCAGGCCUGAAGAUCAAAAUCUACUUAACAUCCAAAGCCACUAGACUCAAAAUGCAGUCCAUUAAAAUGUCCCGAGUCCAAUAGCCCUUCAUGAUAAAAGUCCUGAAGAGGCACUGAAGGCAUCAUGUUGUAGGGAUGGGGACUCCAGUGACCCACACCAUCAGGAACUUCUACCUGGAGAACAGAGGAGAGUAGGAAAUCAGCAAGAUGAAGCCAUCUACACAGUUCUCAAGCACUCUUAUCCCUGCAGCCUCCUAAGCAAGCAGCUGAGACACCAUCCAGAAAUCAAAGAAGUUGCUAGAAAAGGUAAAAAGUUGUUGUCAUUACUAAACAAUGUAUAUAUGUCGAUCCUAAAGUUCUGGCAUCUUCCUUGCAAGUAAAAGAUAUUGAACCAUAACAAGAACCAAAAGAAUUCAGAUUGGAGAUAUGACAUCACUUUGAUAUGAAUAUUAUGGGUGUUUCCAAAGGCAAAUUACUAUUAUAGAAGUAUUGACCCUUCUCAAUAACCAUACAUUUUCUCAAGAAAGACAGACAGCUGGGAAAUACUACAAAAGAAUUCUAUUUAGAACUAAAAUAUGUAAAUUCCCUUCUCAACUAUUUAGUUACUUUUAAUGUCAAAAAUCUUUCCUUUUGAAGAAAAGAAAGUAAUAUGAUCAAAAUGAAGAAAACCACAAAACAACUUAUGUAUAUUUACAAUCUCUGUGUUCUUCUAAUAUACAUAUUAAAGUGUGUGUGUGUGU